rnacentral:rRNA from 1 species
AGCCAGACUCCUACGGGAGGCAGCAGUGGGGAAUAUUGCACAAUGGGGGAAACCCUGAUGCAGCGACGCCGCGUGAGUGAAGAAGUAUUUCGGUACGUAAAGCUCUAUCAGCAGGGAAGAAAAUGACGGUACCUGACUAAGAAGCCCCGGCUAACUACGUGCCAGCAGCCGCGGUAAUACGUAGGGGGCAAGCGUUAUCCGGAUUUACUGGGUGUAAAGGGAGCGUAGACGGCAUGGCAAGUCAGAUGUGAAAGCCCGGGGCUCAACCCCGGGACUGCAUUUGAAACUGUCAGGCUGGAGUGCAGGAGAGGUAAGUGGAAUUCCUAGUGUAGCGGUGAAAUGCGUAGAUAUUAGGAGGAACACCAGUGGCGAAGGCGGCUUACUGGACUGUAACUGACGUUGAGGCUCGAAAGCGUGGGGAGCAAACAGGAUUAGAUACCCGGGUAA